UUGACAGCACUGGAGACUGAAGCCCUGUAUUCUACAGAAUGGAAGCAUCAUGGUAGAAAAGCAGCAUAAAGCUUCCCCUGCUGAUUACUGCAUCAGUCCUGACCUAAAAGGAUUAUCUCUAGGGAUAAGAAGAUAGCUCAGUCUCCAAGCCUAUCUUAAGCUUGGUCUCU
rnacentral:sRNA from 1 species